rnacentral:rRNA from 1 species
UGCCUACGGGGGGCAGCAGUGAGGAAUAUUGGUCAAUGGGCGGAAGCCUGAACCAGCCAAGUCGCGUGAGGGAAUAAGGCCCUACGGGUCGUAAACCUCUUUUGCCGGGGAGCAAGGGCGGGGACGUGUCCCGGCCCGGAGAGUACCCGGAGAAAAAGCAUCGGCUAACUCCGUGCCAGCAGCCGCGGUAAUACGGAGGAUGCGAGCGUUAUCCGGAUUUAUUGGGUUUAAAGGGUGCGUAGGCGGGCUUUUAAGUCAGCGGUAAAAAUUCGGGGCUCAACCCAGUCCGGCCGUUGAAACUGGGG